rnacentral:rRNA from 1 species
GAAUGUGACCCCAGGAUGGGCGAGGCCACCCGCUGAGUUUAAGCAUAUCAAUAAGCGGAGGAAA